rnacentral:lncRNA from 1 species
AAACUUUCAAAUUAUCAACCCUCGUUUUUAAUGCCUUAACAUGAGCUCUCAAGGAAAUAAUAUUUGCAUUAUUAGAGGAUACUGCAUGUGUGGCUUCAUUGUAUUCCUUGCCCAGUUUCUAGACAUUGUAGCACAUGAAACAAAGUGUUGUAAAGCCGCUUCAGGAGUAAGAGCAGUGACAUCUCGAUUUUCUAGUUGAUGAACUAGCAUUGAUGUUGUUCGAUCUAAGGAUCUGCUGACCAUAUCUGCCAGCUGACUGUCUGUGUAACCAUGGUGAGAGCAAUCAGAUAACAACUCUUGAAAUCUGUUCCCAGGUCAUGUAAACUCUGUCCUUCUCUCUGAUGAAUUCGAGAGAUUGAUUCUUUGAUAGCUACAGUCUUUGCUGGAGGAUAGUUCUCUUCUACAAAAGCUUGAGCUAGAGUGUCCCAAUCUCUGAAUGUGCUUCCACGUUAACUAGUCAACUAUCUUCUUGCCUCUAAACCUCGUAUAGAUUCAUCAAUCUCUUCUUCUUCUUCAAAUGAGUGCGAGUCCUGAUGAGAGUUUUGAUAUGUCUGGAAUCUUGUCUGUAUAGGUGACAUGCAAUGAAAUCUCACCUGCACAAUGAAAAAAAACGUAAAAAGUAACCGUGAAAGCAAAAUUUAAAGCGGGAAUGAAUGACUAAUACUAAUUGAACUACUUUUAGAUGCUACAAAGAAUUCUCCGGAAACGGCACCAAUUUGGUAAACAUUUUUAGGCGUUAUAACAAAAAUCUGAUUAAUAAAUUAACCGGAGUCGAAUCUCCAUAUGGUCUCUUUAAGUAUCUUACUCAAAGUUGUAAUUAGUACUAAUUGAAAUAUCAAGUAAUGUGGUUUAGGUGCCACAAAAACUAAUCGAACAAUCAAAAUGAAAAAGAAAAUUGAUAUAAAGGAAAUGGCUGUAAGACUGCAUAGGGUUUUAACAAUUAUGGAUUAAACUGCUUAUAGUUUGAAUCCCCCUAGGAAAUUCUAAUACAAAAAUGACAAAAAAAUUCCACAACACGAGACAUGAUAAAUUCAAUAUACUAUCGCAAUUCUUCUCUAAUCAAACUACGCCCUUUCGGGAUUGCUAAUUUGCUACCUAUCUAGUAUCCUAGUCUUCUCUUUCGAGAUUAAGAUCUGAAACCCGCUAGGCGAUUAACUGAUUAAGAAUUGCUCAAACGACAUACUAGUUCAUUCGCUCUCGGAUGAGGGUUAACGUUUAACCUAGUUGUUUGAUUUCACCGUUCUAGAUAUGCAAGCUCUCACGAGUCUAAGAAAAAUACAACAUAGAUUCAUUCUAAGUUGAUUAGGCAAGAAAUCGAAAAAGAAAUCAAACAUAUAUUGAAAUCCAUCCAACUCGCAUAAAUCGUCAAACGUAUCAAAUCAUUCGUUCAUAAGAACUAAACUAGGCUUCAUCUAAUAUAUGCAAGAGAAGUUUAGGUGCUCAUGAUUUCGAAUGACAAAUCAAAAUCAGAAGAAGAAGUCAUUGAAUCUAGGUAUACACAUGAAACUAUGAAAAACCUAAUUUCGUCGAUCUUCUAGAGAACUUGAUUCCCCAUCUUAAACCUUGCGCCGAUUCCAAGCUCCUUUAAGUUACCUUUUAGUUGCUCUCGAAUCUCUCACUAAUUCUCUCAAUUUCAUCCAAGGAAGUGCUUCUUCAAACAAGGGAGGACCGAGCUUUAAAUAGAUGUUCCCACAAAUCCUUCAAAUUUCGGAUUGUCAAUAUUGCCACUAUGGUUAUAUGUCAAUAUUGCCGCUAUGUUCAUAACGAUAAGUUUGGCCAUCUAUAGCGGCAAUAUUUCCAAAGUUUUCAGGAGGGGGUGUCAAUAUUGACGCUAUGGUUAUGUCAAAAGUUCUGAUAUGGUCAUAGCGCCAAGUUUGACAUUCCACAGUGGCAAUAUUGACAACGUGCAGCCCUUUGUAAUUUCUUCACUUCUCAACCCGUCUAUCUCGUCCCUGCAUGCCCGUACCGCUUCGAAUAGUGACCCAACAUCGUGAUGGACAUGAAAUCUUACAAAAACACUCCAAAACGACAUCAAAAGGACCCCGAACGGGUUUGGGACACGCAAUUGAGAUAGAAGCUAGAAAUGUGCAACACACCUAAACUUCUAGCCAAAACUAUACAUAUAUGCAUGGAAUGUCACUUAAAUAAGGGUGGUGAAUACGAAAAAUCGAGUGUCAUCACCGACUGAAAGAUCUCAACUGACAUGUUGAUAUCAUCAUCAGGGACAGUCAAUACGUACUGCAUUCUUGUUCCCUUAACCAUGGUGUAUCCCAAUGGGUUUUCCUGGUAAUGUUUUUAACAAGACAGUAUCAAUAGCAUACUCGAAGAACAUAAUACAUAUUCUUAUCCAAUGGUUUUCAAGGGGUAAGUGUUAUGAAUAUUGUUAUUAUGGUGCAUGAAUGUGCAUUGUGUAACCUAUACAUUAAUCAUGGGAAUCAAUACCAUUAUUUCCUAUUCAAGUGUAGUUUUGUUAGUCAUUAGGAGUUAUGUAUCAUGAGCCUAUAAAUAGUGCUCACACUUGUAUAUUUAAUACACCUCAAUAAGAUACACUUUCAUUUCUCAUAUUCUUGUCUUCUUCUUCAUUCUUAGUUUUUAUAACAUUAUUAAAACAUCACUAAUGAUAUUUUUUAUUAAAAUCUAUUAAUAAAAGAUAGACUAUUUAAUGCCUUACUAGAAAAAUUGUAUGUACAAUUAACUUUUUUUAACUAGGUCAGGAUUUUCUCAACAACUACGUUUACCUUAUUGCUAAUAAAUACCUCUGAGUUAUUAAUAACUACCUCUAUGUGUUUAAUAAUUAUAUCAACUUCAAAGUUGUUAAUACUAUUUUAAAAUUGGUAAUACUCGUCUAUGAGUUUAUAAUACUUAUGAAGUCUAGUUUUGAGGCAGUCAACUCAUGUAUUUGACAUCGAAAAAGAUAAUUCAUCAAAAAUAUCAAGAUUGCUAGUUUUAAUCGUCAUUGAAAAACUGAGAUGUCGACAUAAAUAUUUAACAAAAACUGGUUUAGCCCAAUGGUUAGGCUUAUGGAUUGGCAUUCCAGAGGUCUAGGCAUCAAUAUCCGCCUUUCAUAUUAUGCUUAUAAAAAAUUUUUCCUCUCAUGUUCUUAUUCUCUUCUUUGUUCUUAAUUUUAUAAUAUAUAUAUAUAUAUAUAUAUAAUUGUUAAAACUAUUAAGACAACAAAACUGCCACUUCAGCUUUCUCUCAAUCUACAUGUGUCCACGUCAAACCUGUAAAACGCUACCAUUUAAUCUUAAUUUCAGCCCACUUUUUAAUCUACCCAUUUAAAACAUAAAAAUCCAAAAUUAAGUUAACAGCAAAAAAAAUCUAGCGAAAGGGCCAAAAAAUAAAAUGUUACCUUGUUUCUAACCCACGAUG